rnacentral:lncRNA from 12 species
CCCGUGUGUAUAAUGCCAGAGACAUUCACUCCAGUUACAUGGUAAUAGCAACAAUACUUAUUGAGCACAUACUAUAUGCCAGUACCGUGCUAAGUGCUUUAUGUGUAUUAACUCACUUAAUCCUCGCAACAACCCUAUUACCCUACUUUACAGAUGAGGAAACCGACCUGGGCAGUCUGGCUCCAGAAUGCAUUCUCCUAAUGGCAUGCAGCCCUGUCCCUCUUAACUCCCACAAUGCCUUUCACGGAGCUCAGCACAGGCAUAAGGAUAGCCUGUGACUCCAGGAACGGACAUCCUCCCAUUCUGGGUGCAAAUCUCCUUUCUGGGAUGCUUUCCAUCAUGCAGCAGAAAGAAACUUGCUUCUUGUCAGAAUACCACUUCCUUCAAUCCUUCCACUUCACCAAAUCCCACCCAAUGAUCAGGCACCAAGGAUGGGAUAAAGUGGAUCAGAGGCGUGAGUUGGCCUGGGCAAGACCUGAAGAAGUGGGGGCGUGGGGGAACGGGUCGCAGAACUCAGAGCAGACUGUGAAACAGUCCAAGCCACCCCCAGCAGGACAAUGAGAAGACAGAUAUCAUCUGUAGACAGUGGGUUGCAUCUUGGGGAGCAGUGGGAAAUGUGGUUAGGUAAGCAUGGCUGGGAGAGGACAUAAGAGUUUCAAUUACCAAAUAUUAAUUUAUAAAUGAUUUAAUAAGUGGUAAGGAG